GUGCUUUCUUUGGCACCACCUAUACUAAAAUUGAAACGAUGCAGAGAUUAGCAUGGCCCCUGCACAAAGGUGAUACACGAAUUCACGAAAUGUGUUAUAUUUUA
ensembl:snRNA U6 U6 spliceosomal RNA